GGAGCCGAAUGGCGCCCUGCUGGGACCUGGACCUGGCACUGGCUGCGAGUCUCUCCGGCUUUCUGGGUCCCGGUAGCUUGCUCGCUGUGUGACCCUCCGCAAGUGUGCACACUUCUCUGAGCCUCAGCGGCCUCUGGCAAAAUGGUAGAGAACAUAAGAGCUGUAAGACAAACUAGGAGCGGCACAGAGUACCGCUUAAGAGCGAGGACUCGAGUCCUCACUCUGCCACCAGAUAACAUCGGUAAUCUAGCGAUAAUGAUAGUACCACCUCAUAGGUUUGUUAUGAAGAUUAAGUGAGUUAAUAUUUGUAAAGUGUUUAGAACAGCGUCUGUUAUGUGGUAAGUGGUAUUUAAGUAUUUGUUAGACAGACUACGGGAGGUCUUGCUCCGGGAUUUUCUCCCGUCCCCUCUCCACCCCCACAUUCCUGUUUCUAAGCCAGGCCUUGCUUUAGCACAGGCUGGGCCCUUUGCCUGCAAAACCAUACCCAUCUCUUCUCUGGACUUUAAUAUCAACUCCUCUGUGACGCCUUCCUCUACGCCUGACAGUACAAGUGAAUCUAUGAUAACAGACAGGCAUGUUCUGUGCCCCAUGGCAGAAUAUGACCACCACACAAUGCCAGAAUUUACCUGGGACCAUUUCAACAACCCUCAAGGCUGACUUGACUGUCUUCUGGUCUUGAUUCUAAGUUUCUAGAUGAGACAAGCAGAUCGGCUAAGUUUGGGUGAGAUGUCUGUCCUGGGUUCUAUUGGCUGUGAUCUGGUGAUGGGUCAUAGAAAAUAAACAAGGCUGGCAGUCCUCACCUCUGUGUGAGCGUGGGGUGGAGGAAGGAUGUUUGACUCCUGGUCACAUAGGCAAACAUGUGCAUCUGUUAAAAAGGUUAUUGAAUGGAGAGUUACGUUCAUUGACAUGGAAGGUCC
rnacentral:lncRNA from 1 species